UAAGAAAAUUGGGCUUAAAAUGAUUUAAAAUCUUAAUCAGUUAUUUGCAUUGUUGAUAGAGACAAAGGAUCCUUUGAAAGAAAGUGCGUUGGAAAAGAAAGAGGAAAUCCUGUGUCUACCUGGCCUCCAAGAGGAAGCUGGAGAUUCAGUACUGCUGCAAGCAUGCUUGUGCUAGAGGAUAUGGGGAAGAUGAGGCACUCAGAUCACUGCAAGUUUGAGACCAGCCUGGACUACAAAUUGAGCUCAAGGCCCACCUGAACUUCACAGCAGGACCCUGUCUCAAAA
rnacentral:lncRNA from 1 species